rnacentral:rRNA from 1 species
CAGCCGCCACGGUAAUACGGAGGGUGCAAGCGUUAAUCGGAAUUACUGGGCGUAAAGCGCACGCAGGCGGUCUGUCAAGUCAGAUGUGAAAUCCCCGGGCUUAACCUGGGAACUGCAUUUGAAACUGUCAGGCUGGAGUCUUGUAGAGGGGGGUGGAAUUCCAGGUGUAGCGGUGAAAUGCGUAGAGAUCUGGAGGAAUACCGGUGGCGAAGGCGGCCCCCUGGACAAAGACUGACGCUCAGGUGCGAAAGCGUGGGGAGCAAACAGGAUUAGAGACCCGCGUAGUCCCUGUCUCUUAUAC